CCCAUGCUCCUGGAUGGGCAGGUUGGAAGUGUGGGAGAGAUGGGGAUGCAGAUUCGAAACGCUCUGGGGAACCUACUUUUCCUUCUGACUGUAGCUCAUGGGAGAGGAUGGUUCUACACGUGGACAGUCCCAGCCACGCUACCUUCAGGCUGAUGGUGGGGUAGGCGCAGUCCUGGCUCUGGCCCUCCUUGCUCUAUUGGCAGAGCGCCCCCUUGGGGCAGAGCGAGGCAUGUGCACCUGCGCAGGAAAUGGCUGGGAAACGCAAUGGGCCAGUCCAGCAUUCCAGGCUGCAGAAGGGCAGGCGGGGGCACCUGCUUCCUGGGGGCGGGACUUGCCAGGGAGGGCCUCACCCAGGAGGGAGGGCAAAGGGCCAUGUCCUUUGCCUGCCCCACCCCGCUGAGAGGAGCCCCAGUCGCCAGGCUACCGUCUCUGUCCCAGGCCUUCAAGGGGUAAGUGUCAUUCUAAAGCCACCGACUGGGUAUUUCCAGAGGACAGGGUGAGCGUCGUUGUCUGCUCAGGGGGCCCGAAUGCCCUGCCCACACUGCCUGCCCGCAGGCCAGGCGGGGGCCACACAGGCCCAAGUCCUCCUGCUGGGAGUGGGGCGCUGGGCAGCAGGUGCAGGAGGCCUCAGCCCCUUCCCUCCUGAUAUCAACGCCAGGGCCUAGGCCAGAGUGAAAGGGCUCAGAGUGGACACCUCGUCCCAGCAAGCCCCAGCCUUGUCGUCUGUCACUCCGCGAGAGCACUCGGAACCCCGGGUGGCUGGAGCACUGGGGGACGCCCCGCCGGUGCCCUCCCUGGACCAAGUCCUCCAGGAGCGAGAUGAAGCCAUCGCCAAGCCGCUGUCCCUGCCACCCGCAGGAAGCGUGCAGUGGAGGCCGAGCUGGAUACGUGCAAGGCCAGGCUGCGUGCAGUGGAGGCCCAGCUGCUGGAGGUCCUGGAGGAGAAACUGAGGCUGAGGCAGGAGGUGGAGGCCUGGGAGGAAGACGUGCAGCAGCUGGUGAGGCAGCAGGUGCAGAGUCAGCUGCAGAGGGAGUCCAGGGGCACCCCGGGAGCCCAUGGGGACCCCGAAACGGCCGGGACCCCGAAACGCGCCCGGGCCCACUUCGCCCUGGGC